rnacentral:rRNA from 1 species
AGGGUUUGAUCCUGGCUCAGGAUAAACGCUGGCGGUGUGCUUUAUGCAUGCAAGUCGUACGGUAUUAAUAGAUCAAGCUUGCUUGAUUUAUUAANAGAGUGGCAGACGGGUGAGUAACGCGUAACUAAUCUGCCCCCAAGUAGGGGAUAACCUUGAGAAAUCGGGGCUAAUACCUUAUGUGGUGGUGGGGAGUAUGCCCCAUCACUAAAGCCCCAAGGCGCUUGGGGAGGAGCUUGCGUCCGAUUANCUUGUUGGUAGGGUAACGGCUUACCAAGGCGAUGAUCGGUAGCUGGUCUGACAGGAUGAUCAGCCACACUGGGACUGAGAUACGGCCCAGACUCCUACGGGAGGCAGCAGCAAGGAAUAUUGGGCAAUGGGCGAAAGCCUGACCCAGCGACACCGCGUGGGGGAUGGCGGCCUUCGGGUUGUAAACCCCUUUUCUCCGGAAGAAUAAUGACGGUACCUGAGGAAUAAGUCUCGGCUAACUACGUGCCAGCANCCGCGGUAAUACGUANGAGGCGAGCGUUAUCCGGAUUUACUGGGCGUAAAGGGGGCGCAAGCGGCUUUUCAAGUUGGAUGUGAAAAUCUCCCUGCUUAACGGGGAGGGGUCAUUCAAUACUGUUAACUAGACAGCAGCAGAGGAAGGUGGAUUCCCGGUGUAGUGGUGAAAUGCGUAGAUAUCAGGAGGAACACCAGUGGCGAAAGCGGCCUUCUGGGCUGUUUCUGACGCUGAGGCCCGAAAGCGCCGGGGAGCGAACAGGAUUAGAUACCCUGGUAGUCCGCGCAKUAAACGAUGGACACUGGGUAUAGGGAGUAUCGACCCUCUCUGUGCCUUARUUAACGCGUUAAGUGUCCCGCCUGGGGAGUACGGCCGCAAGGCUAAAACUCAAAGGAAUUGACGGGGGCCCGCACAAGCAGCGGAGCGUGUGGUUUAAUUCGAUGCAACGCGAAGAACCUUACCAAGGCUUGACAUGUCGGAAGUAGGAACCCGAAAGGGGGACAACCUGUAAAGUCAGGAACCGUCACAGGUGCUGCAUGGUUGUCGUCAGCUCGUGCCGUGAGGUGUUGGGUUAAGUCCUGUAACGAGCGCAACCCCUGUUGUCAGUUGCUUUUUCUGGCAAGACUGCCCUGAAAACGGGGAGGAAGGUGGGGAUGACGUCAAAUCAGCAUGGCCCUUAUGCCUUGGGCUACACACACGCUACAAUGGGUGGUACAAUAGGUAGCAAUAGAGCGAUCUGGAGCCAAUCCUAAAAACCAUCCUCAGUUCGAAUUGUAGGCUGAAACUCGCCUGCAUGAAGUCGGAGUUGCUAGUAACCGCAGGUCAGCAUACUGCGGUGAAUACGUUCUCGGGCCUUGUACACACCGCCCGUCACGUCAUGAAAGUCGGCAAUACCUGAAGUCGGUGCGCUAACCCUUUGGGAGGCAGCCGCCGAGGGUAGGGCUGAUGAUUGGGACGAAGUCGUAACAAGGUAGCCG